UACAGAGGGUGCAAGCGUUGUUCGGAAUUACUGGGCGUAAAGCGCGUGUAGGCGGCGGCGUAAGUCGGGUGUGAAAUCCCUCAGCUCAACUGAGGAAAUGCACUCGAUACUGUGUCGCUUGAAUGUCGGAGGGGAUGGCGGAAUUCCCGGUGUAGAGGUGAAAUUCGUAGAUAUCGGGAGGAACACCUGUGGCGAAGGCGGCCAUCUGGACGACAAUUGACGCUGAGACGCGAAAGCGUGGGUAGCAAACAGG
rnacentral:rRNA from 1 species